AAAUUGAAGAGUUUGAUCAUGGCUCAGAUUGAACGCUGGCGGCAGGCCUAACACAUGCAAGUCGAACGGUAACAGGAAGCAGCUUGCUGCUUUGCUGACGAGUGGCGGACGGGUGAGUAAUGUCUGGGAAACUGCCUGGUGGAGGGGGAUAACUACUGGAAACGGUAGCUAAUACCGCAUAACGUCGCAAGACCAAAGAGGGGGACCUUCGGGCCUCUUGCCAUCGGAUGUGCCCAGAUGGGAUUAGCUAGUAGGUGGGGUAACGGCUCACCUAGGCGACGAUCC
rnacentral:rRNA from 1 species